UUUCCCAAAGCACGUCUGAGGACAGUCCAGGCAGGAGGGAGAAUUAGUGCUACCUGAAGAGGUGUCAUGCUGCCGGCCUGAGGAGGGCCCAGCCUCUCACGUGGAAUGGCCCCCGGCAGCCUGGGGAGUCCCCAAGCAGAUGAGCUGGGGAGGAGGUGUGGGGCAGAUGGCGACAGUAGCUGUCGGGAAGGAAGGCUAAACAUCGUGGGCAGAAGUCAAAGAUAAACUUCCAACCUCCUCCUUCUCUCCCCACGUAACAGCCAAAAGAUGCUGGUUAUUUCAAGGAGUUUCCAAGAAUGGCAUUUGAUAUAUAUCACGACCUUCCCAGGGAAGCUGGGGACGAGGCAUCAGAGCUUCCUCUCCUCUCUCCAACAGAGACACCCCGGCACACGCACAGGCCCCACCUGAAGUCGCCAUAAACAGACAUACACAUGCUUUCUUUCUCAUUGAGAAAGAAGCUGGGAGUGUUAGGAGUAGAAGCCAUUCCACUUGCAAGAAUUGAUGACCCAGAUCCAGCACCAUCUGAGGAUCACUGGCUGUUGGUCUGACCCCAGUCUCUGACAGUGUGCUGGAUUUCCCACACUUGCGUGCUACAGGUCUGGAGCACAAGCACGUGGCUACCCAAAAGAUCCUUCUUCAUCUCCAGACACCGCUUGGUAUCUCUGUUUAUGACAGCUCCUCCCUGGAGGGGAAGAGAGACAGAGCCAAGGUGCUGAAAUGCCUCAGUAAUUCAUCAUCUCUUCUAGCCCUGCUCUCCCUGCUGUGCUCAGCCACAUUCUUGAGGGACCCCUCAGUGCUCCACAAGUCAUCCAGGGAAGAAAGGGAAGCAGAAUGUAGGAUGAGAUCACCCCGUGCUUCCUCUACCAGCCCCAUGGCAAACUGACUAACCAGGCGAUGUUGCGCUGGCUUCGUGUGAUGCCCUCAGCCUCUCCUGAGAUGGAAGCAUUGGGUCAGUACUGACUACCAUGGAACGAAGGCAUCUGUGAGAACCGUGGGCCUUCUCAACUUGGCCCUCCUCUCCACGUCCUCACCCCUGACCCCAUGAGACCCAUCAGGGUCACCUUCACCUUGUGCUUCUCUCCCUCUUCAGGGAAACUGUGUUGUGGGCCUGGAGCAGGAGCUACAGUCAGGAAUCUCAGCCUCUGAGGCAGCUUCCCGCCUCUCCUAUUGAGGGGACUUCGCUAAGGUUUAUAACUGGGAACAUGAUAGGCUUUAGUGCUACAAAGUCAGGGCUGAAUCCUUGCUCUUCCACAUACGAACCGUGUGGGCUUGGGCAAAUUACCUAAUCUCUCCAAGUCUUCCCCCUUAUCUUCAUAUCUCAGCAACUGACACUCCUGCCAUCUGUCCAAACUACCGUCUCUCCUGGUCCUGCCCUCUGCUCCCGGCCCUCUCUCUCCCACGUUCCCUCUCCACCCUUUGCAGGACUCACAUGAUCUACAUUACUGCCUGGGUCAGGCUCUUUCCUUUUUAUGCCCUGCACUCUGCUAUCAUCCUCAGGGUGCAUAACAUUCAUUCUGAUGGCUAGUGAAAAACCCUGACCUCACUGUUCCCCUUCAGACAAACUGCCACCAAGUUCUUGAGCACCAAGUGGGACUGACUGCAGCUGUAACAUCUCCAAAUUUCUGCUUCCUCUCUCACCAUCACCUCCCUGCCUCUCAUCUCUUCCAAUCACAAACUGCCUCUAACAGCCCUUGCUCCCCCCAAAAUUUGCCUGUCCCUGGACUCCCCCCAGCCCCAACCACCCUUUCCUCCUCUGGGCACCCAUCCAGCAUUGGCCAUUCAGGGCAACGCUUCAGAUUCUGGAACUUCUCCUCCACCACUGCCACCACUCCUCUCUCUUUGCUUCCAGACCACAGAGUGCUUGUGGACAGGGUCUGCCAACUGAGCAGGCCUGGCUCAUAAACCUGCCCACAGCAGCCUGGCCCCAGGGCUCAGCUUACUCCUCAGGGUUCCUCUUCCAGGCCUCCUCAGCAUGCUUCGUCUGUCAGCCCCCACCUGGCACUCACUUUAACUAAAUGUCAAGAACACCACACUCCUAUUCAAUCUUCCCGUCCCCUGCAAGCCAUCAGCGAUCCUGAGGACACAGCCUCACAGAUGAUCUCAAAAGAGCGGCCCCAUGCCCGCCUCACCCGCCAGCAGCCCCCCUCUGUUCCCUGAGCCCCAGCCAUCCUCGAUGCUAGAGAAACACUAUUCCUAACAUCCAUCUUUUAUUUCUCCCUCUUUGCAGAUUCCUUUUCUACUGCCUUUAAACAUGUCCAAAUGUCACGAUAUUAGAAGGACAAAAUAAACCCAGACCUUAACUCUACUAUCCCUUUCAACAAACAUUCAGUUUCUCUCCCUUUCAGAAUCAAAUUCCCAAGCAACGAGGCAAUAGCACACAGUGGUUAAGAUUCCGUGUUUGAGUGCUGGGCAUUUACUACACUGUGUAGCCCUCAGCAAAUAAUUGGACUCCUCAGUGCCCCAGUUACUUCAUGGGUGAGAUGGAGCUAGUGAUCACACUUCUCAUAUAAGACUAUGUUUUAUAAGAACUAAAUGAGAAAAUGUUUAACCCAAUGCAUGGUGCAAAUAUGUAUUCAAUAACUCUUGGUCACAAUAAUUUAUUAUUGGUCACAAUAAAUUAUUGUGACCAAUAAUUUAUUGUGACCUUUUAGACAAAGUCAGUGGUCUGUUUUCUAUUUCCACUCAACUUCCACAUGACAUGAGCUUUGACAGUGUUCCACACAUCCUCUAGUUUCUUUCAAAUUGUGUUCAUCUGUAUCUUACACAUUUUUGUUUUGGGUUUGAUUUUUUUUGUUGUUUGUUUUUUGUUUUUUUUUUUUUCUUUUGAGACACAGUCUCGCUCUGUUGUCCAGGAUAGAGUGCAGUGGCAUGAUCUUGGCUCCUUGCAACCUCCGCCUCCCGGGUUCAGGUAAUUCUCCUGCCUCAGCCUCCCAGGUGGUUGGGAUUACAGGCGCCCACCACCACAACCAGCUAAUUUUUGUAUUUUUAGUAGAGACAGGAUUUCACCAUGUUGGCCAGGCUGGUCUCAAACUCCUGACCUCAGUUCAUGGUCUGCCCGCCUCGGCCUCCCAAAGUGCUGGGGUUAUAGGCGUGAGCCACCGUGCCCGGCCAUUUUGGUUUUUAUUUUGGGGUGCUGCGUGUCAGAGUUUUUAAAAGGAUUUCUCUUUUUGUUUCUUUUUCACUUUUACAAAAGUAAUAGAUGCUUCUUUUUUAACUUGGAAAACAUUUUUAAAGUAUAUAAAAUACUUUAAAAUAAAUGGUCAGGGCUCAGGGCACAUGGGC
rnacentral:lncRNA from 10 species